rnacentral:rRNA from 1 species
GAUGAACGCUGGCGGCGUGCCUAAUACAUGCAAGUCGAGCGAACAGAUGAGGCGCUUGCUCCUCUGACGUUAGCGGCGGACGGGUGAGUAACACGUGUAUAACCUACCUAUCAGACUGGUAUCACCUCGGGAAACCGGAGCUAAUCCCGGAUAAUAUACUGAACCGCAUUGUUCAAUAGAGAAAGUCGGUUUUUCUGUCACUUCUAGAUGGUUCUCGGCCGCAUUGGCUAGUUGGUAGGGUCACGGCUUUCCAGGGGAACGAUGCGUAGCCGAAGUGAGAGAGGGAUAGGCCGCCCUGGAGCGGAGACACCGACCUGACGCCUACGGUACGCAGCAGUCGCGAAUCGUACGCAGUGGGCGAGAGCCUGGCGGAGCGGCGCCGCGUGAGUGAUGGAGAUCUUGCGAUCGGAAAACUCUGUUACUAGGGGAAAACAAAUGUGUAAGUAGAUGUGCACGGCGUGACGGUACCUGGUCAGAAAGCACCGGCUAACUACGUG